rnacentral:piRNA from 1 species
UAGAAGUUUCUCUUCCACGAAUGGCUAACCU